rnacentral:rRNA from 1 species
AGAGCGAACGCUGGCGGCAGGCCUAACACAUGCAAGUCGAACGGAUCCUUCGGGAUUAGUGGCGGACGGGUGAGUAACACGUGGGAACGUGCCUUUUGGUUCGGAACAACUCAGGGAAACUUGAGCUAAUACCGGAUAAGCCUUUCGAGGGAAAGAUUUAUCGCCAUUAGAGCGGCCCGCGUAGGAUUAGCUAGUUGGUGGGGUAAAGGCCCACCAAGGCUACGAUCCUUAGCUGGUCUGAGAGGAGGAUCAGUCACACUGGAACUGAGACACGGUCCAGACUCCUACGGGAGGCAGCAGUGGGGAAUAUUGGACAAUGGGCGAAAGCCUGAUCCAGCCAUGCGCGUGUGUGAAGAAGGUCUUCGGAUUGUAAAGC